CCCAUGGCUCAGAUUGAACGCUGGCGGCAGGCCUAACACAUGCAAGUCGAGCGGCAGCACGGGUACUUGUACCUGGUGGCGAGCGGCGGACGGGUGAGUAAUGCCUAGGAAUCUGCCUGGUAGUGGGGGAUAACGCUCGGAAACGGACGCUAAUACCGCAUACGUCCUACGGGAGAAAGCAGGGGACCUUCGGGCCUUGCGCUAUCAGAUGAGCCUAGGUCGGAUUAGCUAGUUGGUGAGGUAAUGGCUCACCAAGGCGACGAUCCGUAACUGGUCUGAGAGGAUGAUCAGUCACACUGGAACUGAGACACGGUCCAGACUCCUACGGGAGGCAGCAGUGGGGAAUAUUGGACAAUGGGCGAAAGCCUGAUCCAGCCAUGCCGCGUGUGUGAAGAAGGUCUUCGGAUUGUAAAGCACUUUAAGUUGGGAGGAAGGGCAGUUACCUAAUACGUAAUUGUUUUGACGUUACCGACAGAAUAAGCACCGGCUAACU
rnacentral:rRNA from 1 species